UACGGGGGGAGCAAGCGUUGUUCGGAUUUACUGGGCGUAAAGGGCGCGUAGGCGGCCACCGCAAGUCGACUGUGAAAUCUCCGGGCUUAACCCGGAAAGGUCAGCCGAUACUGCGGGGCUAGAGUGCAGAAGGGGCAACUGGAAUUCUCGGUGUAGCAGUGAAAUGCGUAGAUAUCGAGAGGAACACCUGCGGCGAAGGCGGGUUGCUGGGCUGACACUGACGCUGAGGCGCGAAAGCUAGGGGAGCGAACGGG
rnacentral:rRNA from 1 species